rnacentral:rRNA from 1 species
AACGAACGCUGGCGGCAUGCCUAACACAUGCAAGUCGAACGAAGGCUUCGGCCUUAGUGGCGCACGGGUGCGUAACGCGUGGGAAUCUGCCCUUGGGUUCGGAAUAACAGUGAGAAAUUACUGCUAAUACCGGAUGAUGACUUCGGUCCAAAGAUUUAUCGCCCAAGGAUGAGCCCGCGUUGGAUUAGCUAGUUGGUGAGGUAAAGGCUCACCAAGGCGACGAUCCAUAGCUGGUCUGAGAGGAUGAUCAGCCACACUGGGACUGAGACACGGCCCAGACUCCUACGGGAGGCAGCAGUGGGGAAUAUUGGACAAUGGGCGAAAGCCUGAUCCAGCAAUGCCGCGUGAGUGAUGAAGGCCUUAGGGUUGUAAAGCUCUUUUACCCGGGAUGAUAAUGACAGUACCGGGAGAAUAAGCUCUGGCUAACUCCGUGCCAGCAGCCGCGGUAA